GACUGGAAUGGGGACAUGGACAGGCAGGAAGAGAGAGUACUCUGCAUUGGAUCUUCACAGUCAAGACAAAUCGUUAUUGAGACUGAUGUAAAGUAAGUGAGUGACAGAGUUCAACGCGGAACAGGCCGGGAGGAGAGGAGAAGACAAACAAGAAAUACCACUGGUCAUCCUAGCUGGUCGAAUAUGGGGAAUGGGAGCAGUGUAAACUCGACGGCAGUUGGUAUUGCUGUUGGCUUUGUGAUUUUGGCGAUCCUCUUCACCAUUGGCAUUGUACAAUUCUGCUGGAAGUACAAAUGCCAAAAAUGCUGCAAGAAAAAAAAGGAGCCAUCUCUGAAAGACAAGUGUUCAA